rnacentral:rRNA from 1 species
AUUAAUGAAUUUCAAGUCGGUCGUCUGUGCUGGUGGCAACACAUGUGCACGUCGGCCGCAAAUCCACACACCUGUGCACUUUUGACUCUGGGAUCCGCUGGUCUUUUGACUUGCAGCAGGUUGGCUCUGUGCUGACCUGGGUCUCAGAGUACUUUUAUAUACUCCUGAAUGUUAUGGAAUGUCUCUGUGCUUAACGCGCAUCUAUAUAACUUUCAACAACGGAUCUCUUGGCUCUCGCAUCGAUGAAGAACGCAGCGAAAUGCGAUAAGUAAUGUGAAUUGCAGAAUUCAGUGAAUCAUCGAAUCUUUGAACGCACCUUGCACCCUUUGGUACUCCGAGGGGUACACCCGUUUGAGUGUCAUUGUAAUCUCACUCCGAUGACUAUGUUGUUGUCUGGAGGUGGACUUGGACCCUGCCGUGUCACAAUGGCUGGUCUGAAAUGCAUGAGUGCACCCUGCCAUAGCAGCGUCUUCAGUGUGAUAAGUAUCUUCACUGACCCAAGCUUCCUCUGUGGAACACGCUUGUCUGGUGGGCUCUGGGCUUCCAACUGUCCCCAUGGACAACUCUUGACAAUUUGACCUCAAAUCGGGUGGGAUUACCCGCUGAACUUAAGCAUAUCAAUAA